rnacentral:rRNA from 1 species
AUUGAAUGCUGGCGGCAGGCCUAACACAUGCAAGUCGAGCGGCAGCGGGAAAGUAGCUUGCUACUUUUGCCGGCGAGCGGCGGACGGGUGAGUAAUGCCUGGGAAAUUGCCCAGUCGAGGGGGAUAACAGUUGGAAACGACUGCUAAUACUGCAUACGCCCUACGGGGGAAAGCAGGGGACCUUCGGGCCUUGCGCGAUUGGAUAUGCCAAGGUGGGAUUAGCUAGUUGGUGAGGUAAUGGCUCACCAAGGCGACGAUCCCUAGCUGGUCUGAGAGGAUGAUCAGCCACACUGGAACUGAGACACGGUCCAGACUCCUACGGGAGGCAGCAGUGGGGAAUAUUGCACAAUGGGGGAAACCCUGAUGCAGCCAUGCCGCGUGUGUGAAGAAGGCCUUCGGGUUGUAAAGCACUUUCAGCGAGGAGGAAAGGUUGAUGCCUAAUACGCAUCAACUGUGACGUUACUCGCAGAAGAAGUACCGGCUAACUCCGUGCCAGCCGCCGCCGUAA